GGGCCCGCACAAGCGGUGGAGCAUGUGGUUUAAUUCGAUGAUACGCGAGGAACCUUACCAGGGCUUAAAUGCAUUAUGACAGGGGUGGAGACACCCUUUUCUUCGGACAUUUUGCAAGGUGCUGCAUGGUUGUCGUCAGCUCGUGCCGUGAGGUGUCAGGUUAAGUCCUAUAACGAGCGCAACCCCUAUCGUUAGUUGCCAGCGGGUCAUGCCGGGAACUCUAGCGAAACUGCCGGUGCAAACCGUGAGGAAGGUGGGGAUGACGUCAAAUCAUCACGGCCCUUACGUCCUGGCUACACACGUGCUACAAUGGCCGGUACAGAGAGCAGCCACUACGCGAGUAGGAGCG
rnacentral:rRNA from 1 species